ACAAAUAUGAAGGCGGGCUGGAACCUCUCGGGGUUACAGCCUUGCUGAAUUAUUCACCCUUGUCUUUUGCGUACUUCUUGUUUCCUUGGUGGGUUCGCCCACCACUAGGACAAACAUAAACCUUUUGUAAUUGCAAUCAGCGUCAGUAACAAAUUAAUAAUUACAACUUUCAACAACGGAUCUCUUGGUUCUGGCAUCGAUGAAGAACGCAGCGAAAUGCGAUAAGUAGUGUGAAUUGCAGAAUUCAGUGAAUCAUCGAAUCUUUGAACGCACAUUGCGCCCUUUGGUAUUCCAAAGGGCAUGCCUGUUCGAGCGUCAUUUGUACCCUCAAGCUUUGCUUGGUGUUGGGCGUCUUGUCUCUAGCUUUGCUGGAGACUCGCCUUAAAGUAAUUGGCAGCCGGCCUACUGGUUUCGGAGCGCAGCACAAGUCGCACUCUCUAUCAGCAAAGGUCUAGCAUCCAUUAAGCCUUUUUUUCAACUUUUGACCUCGGAUCAGGUAGGGAUACCCGCUGAACUU
rnacentral:rRNA from 1 species